rnacentral:rRNA from 1 species
UUAGGAAUCUUGCACAAUGGGGGAAACCCUGAUGCAGCGACGCCGCGUGAGUGAUGAAGUUUUUCGGAAUGUAAAACUCUGUCCUACAGGGAAGAAGAAUGUGACGGUACCUGUAGAGAAAGCCCCGGCUAACUACGUGCCAGCAGCCGCGGUAAUACGUAGGGGGCGAGCGUUGUCCGAAUUUAUUGGGCGUAAAGCGCGUGUAGGCGGCUCUUUAAGUCAGAUGUGAAAUCCUGCGGCUCAACCGCAGAACUGCAUUUGAUACUGGAGGGCUUGAGUGUGGGAGAGGAAAGUGGAAUUCCAGGUGUAGCGGUGAAAUGCGUAGAUAUCUGGAGGAACACCCGUGGCGAAGGCGGCUUUCUGGCCCACCACUGACGCUGAGACGCGAAGGCUAGGGGAGCGAACA